UGGGGAAUAUUGCACAAUGGGCGAAAGCCUGAUGCAGCGACGCCGCGUGAGGGCAUGACGGCCUUCGGGUUGUAAACCUCUUUCAGCAGGGAAGAAGCGAAAGUGACGGUACCUGCAGAAGAAGCGCCGGCUAACUACGUGCCAGCAGCCGCGGUAAUACGUAGGGCGCAAGCGUUGUCCGGAAUUAUUGGGCGUAAAGAGCUCGUAGGCGGUUAGUCGCGUCUGCUGUGAAAACUCGAGGCUCAACCUCGGGCUUGCAGUGGGUACGGGCUGACUAGAGUGCGGUAGGGGUGACUGGAAUUCCUGGUGUAGCGGUGGAAUGCGCAGAUAUCAGGAGGAACACCGAUGGCGAAGGCAGGUCACUGGGCCGCAACUGACGCUGAGGAGCGAAAGCAUGGGGAGCGAACAGGAUUAGAUACCCUGGUAGUCCAUGCCGUAAACGUUGGGCACUAGGUGUGGGGUCCAUUCCACGGAUUCCGUGCCGCAGCAAACGCAUUAAGUGCCCCAGCCUGGGGAGUACGGCCGCAAGGCUAAAACUCAAAUGAAUUGACGGGGUCAUAG
rnacentral:rRNA from 1 species